AUACGAAGGGUGCUAGCGUUGUUCGGAAUUACUGGGCGUAAAGCGUACGUAGGCGGAUUAUUAAGUCAGAUGUGAAAUCCCGAGGCUCAACCUCGGAACUGCAUUUGAAACUGGUAGUCUAGAGAUCAGGAGAGGUUAGUGGAAUACCGAGUGUAGAGGUGAAAUUCGUAGAUAUUCGGUGGAACACCAGUGGCGAAGGCGACUAACUGGACUGAUACUGACGCUGAGGUACGAAAGUGUGGGGAGCAAACAGGAUUAGAAACCCCAGUAGUCC
rnacentral:rRNA from 1 species